GCAGGGCCAGAGAGUUGCCUGCUGCCACUCAAAGCAAGCAGAGGAGGGGUGGAUUCAGGGGUUAACCCGAUGGGAGGGUGUGUGUGUGUUGUGAAGCGUGUUACCUGAGCCCUUGGCGCGGUUAGGAACAUGUGCGCACAGGAGAAAACAGUCCUGUGCAGAGUGGGCUCCCGUGAAGAAGCUAUAAAGUGAGAUGUUAUCUCGGUGAGCCACUUUUGCCAUCUAGAGAUGUGGUGGCCAGCCAGGCAAAGAGGAAUCCCGCUGAAUGAGUGAAAAGCUAUCCACUGCUGAAAGUACCCAUGCUGGGAGCCAGAUGUCUCUAAUUCUCGGAGCAUGCCGCAUAUUCCAGAACAUCACUGCUCCAUAAAACAUUAUUAGAUUCCAUUUGUGUGUCUCGGAACUUCAAAGUUAUUGCACUGAAUAGAAGAGACUCUGUAUGUCCCCAAAGGAUUUGGUUUCUUAAGGAUUUAUCUAGCUACCUGAGGAGUGCCAUUGUCUAGCUCAUUUACUGUUUAUCAUCCUCACCGCUCAGCUAUCACAGACUAAAGAAAACAGGCAGAAAUUUGCAGGAGCCAAGGGGAAACCUGCUAAGAAUUGCUAAGUUAUUCAGGAAUUCACGAAGCUGGUUGUUUCUUCAAUUAGUUUCCCUUCCAUAGUCGCCCACCAAAGGGUGUUUUAGCCUUACAACAACCCUGUGAGGUAGGUUGGACAUGCUAUUCAUGCAUCUGUUCUGUAAGCACUUGCACUUGCUGAGUGUUUUUAAAAAGUGUUUUAAAGCCAUCAAACAAUAUGACGUUGGGCAUCUGAGACAUUUAAGCCGCAGAGGAACAGGCAGUGGCUAUGCUACGUUGCAGCCUCCAUUCCGUGCCAUUAGACUGAGCAGUCCCACCUCAAGUAGUAGAUCUGGGGUCACCAUCAAGAGGAAGCAGCUCCCAAUUAGUAGAUAGUGCAGGACCCUUUAAGAAGCUGCAAGAAGAAGACAUGCAAAAGUGGAUCCUACCCUAGUGGCCCCUUCACCCAACCUCCUUCUCUCUCUGCCUGCUGCAAGAUGCUCUGGGAGUACAGUAAAUUUGCUGCUGCAAGCAGGAACUGUUCAGAAAGGCUGAAGGUCUGUGUGAUCACUGAGCUGGUCAGCUCCAAUGGCUACGCACACCCUGCGCUACUCUGCAAUGCAACUCCAGCCUUUGAUUGUCGACUGUUAAUGAGAAAGCCUCACUUUUCAGCGCCCUGCUUCUUGGUGGUUGGUCAACUUAAUUCUUGUCUCUGUGAGGCAGGUGUGCGGAACCUUAGGCUCUCCAAAUGUUGUGAAGCUA